UCUGAACUAUCAACACUUUGAUCCUCUUAAUUUUUGCACAAAAGAUACACAUGCCAUAACUUCUUCUAAGUUGAAAAAUCCCAAGAUUAUUAUAACGAUUUUACAGAGGCUGUGAUCACUCAAUCAAACUCCAUUUCUUGAGGUGACUUUCUCUAUAUCACAGGGAUUUUUACCCUUCACUUCUUGAGUCCUUCAACCCUAUAAAAUACAACCCUUAACAGCAAAAUUCUGAAUUGCAUCCUUCUAAAGCAUACAUACAGUAAAAAUGUCCAAGUUCUCUUGCAGCAUUUUCUUUGUCUUUCUCCUUGUCUUAUCAGGUGACGCUUGCUGAUUAUUUCCUUUUGGCCUAGUGGUCAAAAAAUUUCAAAUCUUUAUGAUUUUUGGUAAUUUUUAUGAAUUUUUAUAAUCUUAGUAAAAAUAGCUCAAAUAAUAAAACUAUUGGCAAUUUCGGUCGAGUCUCGAUUUUGAUCAAAACUGGAUGACGUAUCAUCUUUGGUGGCAUGAGACAAAUAAGCUACAUCAUUAUUGUACUUAUAUAAUUUUGACCAAAAUUAAGAAUUAGCCAAAAUUAUAAAUGAUUUUACAAUACUAGCCACUUUUUCCAAAAUUAAAAAGACUGGCUAAAAUUGUCAAAAAUCACAUGAGUUUGAAUUUCUUUUUACCAUGAGCCCUUUCUUUUUGUACAUAAGUAUAGUUGAUUUGUAUUGUUCUCCAUUUUUAUAUCCUUGGUGGUUCAUAUUAUGUCAGCUGCUUUCAUGGUUCCUAAAGGAGAAGCUCAAGAGAUAUGUCAUAAUGAACUCCCAGGAGAAGGAGAUGGUAAUUGUGAUGCAGCAAAAUGUCAAACACGAUGCUCAAAGUUACAUCAAGGGACCGGAAUUUGCACCCAAACAUUUAUAAAUCGC
rnacentral:lncRNA from 1 species